GGGGACAGUAAAAAGACCUAUCACAGAAGCACUGGGAGCACGUAGGAGGGGCCGCGCCAGCCGUCCUCCUGGCUUCUCAUCACUGGCAUUAUUUCAGAAGACAGCCUUUGUCCUAACAGAAGCACUGGGAGCACGUAGGAGGGGCCGAGCCAGCCGUCCUCCCGGCUUCUCAUCACUGGCAUUGUUUCAGAAGACAGCCUUUGUCCUAACAGAAGCACUGGGAGCACGUAGGAGGGGCCGCGCCAGCCGUCCUCCCGGCUUCUCAUCACUGGCAUUGUUUCAGAAGACCCCCACCACCACCUUCGUCCCUAGGGGAUACGUUCCAAGACCACCAGUGGAAGCUGGAAACCUCACAUAGUAGCAAUACCUGCACACUGUCUUCUCGAUCUGAUAAUCGAAGUGGCUGCUAAGUGGCUAAUGGGAAGGCAGCAUCUGCGGCGUGGAUCCACUGGACAAACAGAUGACUCCUGUCCGGGGCAGGAUGGAGCAGGCAGGUGUGAGGUUUCACUGCAGUACUCAGAACAUCAUGCAGUUUAAAAUUCAGAAUUGUUUUAUUCUGAAUUUUCCAUUGAACAAUUUUGGACUGUGGAUGACCGCGGGUAGCUGAAACUGUGGAAGGCAGAACCAUGGGAAAGGAGACUACUGUAUUCAUGCCAGCUUCUUGUGAGCUCCCUCCCUGUGCCACAGCCUGCCUUGGGCACCGAAGAUUCAGCGCCUACAACAGGGCUGGUGGCUGCACCGUGCAGCAUCCGGGAAUGUCUUUCUGCUCUCUUCUGAUGGGAACAGUAAUUUGUGUGACAUAUUCUUUCCCCCCAAAUGUCUCUGUGUGUAGCUCAGAGUCAUUUGAUAUUUCAGAACACAGGGAAAUCUAAGCUCAUCCCAAAGUAUCACAGAUUUGUAGGUAAUGCAUGUCUUUUGUUUUUUUCCUGGCCGGCUGGCAGGAAGAUUUUCCCCUCUCUAUGUGGAAGAAGCGACUGAAGGCCUCCUGCCUGCCCCCGGCACCAGAUUCCCCAAGGCCUGCACCAGCCCCUUCUGACUUCUGGUUGCACUUCUGGUCAUUUGUGAUUCUCCACAUUAAAUCACCUGGAUUUGCCCUGUGUGGUCUCCCUGUCUCCUGAUUGGACCCAGACUGAAACAACUUCUUCGUGACUUUUUGCUCAUAUUUUUAAAUUGUGGUUAAAUAUGCUGCCAGAGAGUUUCCUAACGUGCUUGCACCAACGUACAUGACACCAGCAGGGAUGGGAGUUCUGAUUGCUCCUUAGUAGUGGCUGGAGCUGGCUCACAGGGGCUUGCAAGAGCCAACCAUGCCAAUCUCUUCCAACUCCACACGAGCAACAAGACUGGUAACUGGAAAUCAACCACAGCAGGAGUAUUUGCACCAUGGAAAUCAGCCCGCGCUGCAGAUCAGCUUUAGAGGCGGAGGCAGGAAUUCAGGAAAAGACGCUGAGCACGCAUCACAGCAGCCCCAACCCAGGGAGCCCCUCAGAUGGGGAGCCAGGGUGUGAGCCCCAAGACUCCAAGGAUCUCGGAGGUUUCAUCGGCUGCCGGGCUCGGGACCCCGAGGCCCAGUGCACAAGCCAGGGAGUGGGCAGGCAGGGCACCCGUGAGCCAUGGGGUCGGACCUCCGGGCCUGCUGCUGCCCGCUUGCUGUCCUUACACUGCUGCAUCCUGGGAUUCCCAUCUGAGACGACCGCCCAGUGUCCAGGCCACUAGGAACGAUGCUGCGGGCCUGAGGUCACUGAUGCAACCCCUUCUCUGGCCCUAAACAGAGUUCAGGGCUCACCGCCCUCAUCACAAGCAUGAAGAAGUGUGAGGACUCAGGAUGGUGG
rnacentral:lncRNA from 10 species